GACGAACGCUGGCGGCGUGCUUAACACAUGCAAGUCGAGCGGAGAGGCCCGGUUUUUGUGGCGUGCGCGAGUGGCGAGCAGGUGAGAAUCACGUGAGUAGACUCCCCUUGUCAUUGGGGUAACUUCAGGAAACUCGGGCGCUUACCGCGUAUAAGCUCCUGAUACACAAGGGGUGUGGUAGAGAUUCGCCGGUUCGGGAUGGACUGGCGGCUUAUCAGCGUGUUGGUGGGGUAGUGGCUUAACAGGGCUUUGACGGGUAGCCGGACUGCGAGGGUGACCGGCCACAUUGGGACUGAGGUACGGGCCAGACUCCUACGGGAGGCAGCAGUGGGGAAUAGUGCACAAUGGGCGGAAGCCGGAUGCAGCAAUGCCGCGUGCGGGAUGACGGCCGUCGGGUUGUAAAGCGGGUUCGCCUGGGACGAAGCGUGAGUGACGGUAAUGGGUAAAGAAGCAACGGCUAACUACGUG
rnacentral:rRNA from 1 species